rnacentral:rRNA from 1 species
AGUGAACGUUGGCGGCGUGGAUUAGGCAUGCAAGUCGAGCGAGAACCGUAGCAAUACGGGGACAGCGGCGAAAGGGACAGUAAUGUGUAGGUACCUACCCCGAGGUCUGGGAUAGCUGCGGGAAACUGCAGGUAAUACCGGAUAAUGUCUUCGGACCAAAGGCGUGAUUCCACCUUGGGAGGGGCCUGCAUCCUAUUAGCUAGUUGGCGGGGUAAUGGCCCACCUAGGCGACGAUGGGUAGCGGGGGUGAGAGCACGACCCGCGUCAUUGGGACUGAGACACUGCCCAGACACCUACGGGUGGCUGCAGUCGAGGAUCUUCGGCAAUGGGCGAAAGCCUGACCGAGCGACGCCGCGUGCGGGAUGAAGGCCUUCGGGUUGUAAACCGCUGUCGUAGAGGAGGAAAUGCAGGUGGGUUCUCCCAUCUGUUUGACCUAUUCUAGGAGGAAGUACGGGCUAAGUUCGUGCCAGCCGCCGCAGUAA